UACGUAGGGUGCAAGCGUUGUCCGGAAUUAUUGGGCGUAAAGAGCGUGUAGGCGGCCCGGUAAGUCCGCUGUGAAAGUCCAGGGCUCAACCCUGGGAUGCCGGUGGAUACUGUCGGGCUCGAGUCCGGAAGAGGAGUGUGGAAUUCCUGGUGUAGCGGUGAAAUGCGCAGAUAUCAGGAGGAACACCAAUGGCGAAGGCAGCACUCUGGGACGUGACUGACGGCUGAGACGCGAAAAGCGUGGGGAGCAAACAGG
rnacentral:rRNA from 1 species